rnacentral:tRNA from 1 species
GAGUUUAGGUUAAACAAACCAAGGGCCUUCAAAGCCCUAAACAGGCGGCCUGCCCCCUAAC